UUUUACGGAGAGUUUGAUCCUGGCUCAGGACGAACGCUGGCGGCGUGCUUAACACAUGCAAGUCGAACGAUGAAGCCCAGCUUGCUGGGUGGAUUAGUGGCGAACG
rnacentral:rRNA from 1 species